rnacentral:misc_RNA from 1 species
GAUGAAGAACGUAGCGAAAUGCGAUACUUGGUGUGAAUUGCAGAAUCCCGUGAACCAUCGAGUCUUUGAACGCAAGUUGCGCCCGAAGCCAUCAGGUUGAGGGCACGUCUGCCUGGGCGUCACAUAUCGUUGCUCGAUGCCUAUCGCAUUGCGAUAGGACUUAGGGCGAAUGAUGGCUUCCCGUGAGCGUUGUUGCCUCGCGGUUGGUUGAAAAUCGAGUGCAUGGUGUCGGGUGUACCAUGAUGGAUGGUGGUUGAGUGAUGAUGCUCGAGACCAAUCAUGGGUAACUCCACCAGAAUUGGGUUCGGUGACCCACAUGCGUCCCUUGGAUGCUCCCUAAGGAGACCUCAGGUCAGGCGGGGCUACCCGCUGAGUUUAAGCAUAUCAAUAAGCGGAGGA